AAGAGACUCUGGAGGUAUCAGAAGUGAGAAUGCAGGAAUAAGUAGCGAGAAUGGGGGCGAGAAUCCCCCACGCCGGAAGACCAAGGGUUCCAGGGUAAAGUUUGUCUCCCCUGGGUAAGCCGGGUCCUAAGCCGAGGCUAGAUUGCGUAGGCGAAUGGAAAACAGAUUAAUAUUUCUGUGCCACUGAUAUCAAGUGAUGGAGGGACGCAGGAGGUUAUGCACGCUGGCGAACGGAAGUGCCAGUUCAAGCAUGUAGCGUGGUCUAGUAGGAAAAUCCGCUAGAUUAAACGUGAGGUGUGAUGAGGAGUCGUAAGAUGGAAGGUGCAAAUACCACACUGCCGAGAAAAGCUUCUAAGCGUUAUAAAGAUAUUAGUGCCCGUACCCCAAACCGACACAGGUGGUCAGGAUGAGAAAUCUAAGGCGGACAGGCUAACUCUCGUUAAGGAACUCUGCAAAAUAGCCCCGUAACUUCGGGAGAAGGGGUGCCUUUUAUGGUGAGCGUACACGCGACGCAAAGCUAUGAGAGGCCGCAGUGAAGAGUCUCAGGCGACUGUUUAACAAAAACACAGGUCUAUGCUAAGCUGUAAGGCGACGUAUAUGGGCUGACACCUGCCCAGUGCCGGAAGGUUAAGAGGAGGAGUGAGAGCUCCGAAUUGAAGCCCCGGUGAACGGCGGCCGUAACUAUAACGGUCCUAAGGUAGCGAAAUUCCUUGUCGGGUAAGUUCCGACCUGCACGAAUGGUGUAACGAUCUGAGAGCUGUCUUGACGGGAGGCCUGGUGAAAUUGUAUUACCGGUGAAGAUACCGGUUACCUGCAGUAGGACGGAAAGACCCCAUGGAGCUUUACUGUAGCUUGGUAUUGGGUUUUGGCAUCGUAUGUAUAGGAUAGUUGGGAGACUAUGAUGCGU
rnacentral:rRNA from 1 species